rnacentral:rRNA from 1 species
AGUGAACGCUGGCGGUAGGCCUAACACAUGCAAGUCGAACGGCAGCACAGUAAGAGCUUGCUCUUACGGGUGGCGAGUGGCGGACGGGUGAGGAAUACAUCGGAAUCUACUUUUUCGUGGGGGAUAACGUAGGGAAACUUACGCUAAUACCGCAUACGACCUACGGGUGAAAGCAGGUGCUCUUCGGACCUUGCGCGAUUGAAUGAGCCGAUGUCGGAUUAGCUAGUUGGCGGGGUAAAUGCCCACCAAGGCGACGAUCCGUAGCUGGUCUGAGAGGAUGAUCAGCCACACUGGAACUGAGACACGGUCCAGACUCCUACGGGAGGCAGCAGUGGGGAAUAUUGGACAAUGGGCGCAAGCCUGAUCCAGCCAUACCGCGUGGGUGAAGAAGGCCUUCGGGUUGUAAAGCCCUUUUGUUGGGAAAGAAAAGCAGCAGGUUAAUACCCCGCUGUUCUGACGGUACCCAAAGAAUAAGCACCGGCUAACUUCGUG